CCUACGGGAGGCAGCAGUGAGGAAUAUUGGUCAAUGGCCGUAAGGCUGAACCAGCGAAGUCGCGUGAAGGAAGGAGGAUCUAUGGUUUGUAAACUUCUUUUAUAGGGGAAUAAAGGUAUCCACGUGUGGAUAUUUGCAUGUACCCUAUGAAUAAGCAUCGGCUAACUCCGUGCCAGCAGCCGCGGUAAUACGGAGGAUGCGAGCGUUAUCCGGAUUUAUUGGGGUUAAAGGGUGCGUAGGUUGUUUCUUAAGUCGGCGGUGAAAGUUUGGGGCUCAACCAUCACAUGGCCUUUGAAACUGGAAGACUUGAGUGUGUUUGAGGGAGGCGGAAUGCGUGGUGUAGCGGUGAAAUGCAUAGAUAUCACGCAGAACACUGAUUGCGAAGGCAGCUUACUAGGCCAUAACUGACGCUGAGGCACGAAAGCGAGGGGAUCAAAAAGGAUUAGAUACCCGAGUAGUC
rnacentral:rRNA from 1 species